rnacentral:rRNA from 1 species
UACGUAGGGGGCAAGCGUUGUCCGGAUUUAUUGGGCGUAAAGCGCACGUAGGCGGAUUGUUAAGUCAGAGGUGAAAUCCUGGAGCUCAACUCCAGAACUGCCUUUGAUACUGAGGAUCUUGAGUACGGGAGAGGUGAGUGGAACUGCGAGUGUAGAGGUGAAAAUUCGUAGAUAUUCGCAAGAACACCAGUGGCGAAGGCGGCUCACUGGCCCGUUACUGACGCUGAGGCACGAAAGCGUGGGGAGCAAACAGG